AUUGACCGCUGGCGGCAGGCCUAACACAUGCAAGUCGAACGAGUGGCGGACGGGUGAGUAAUGUCUGGGAAACUGCCUGAUGGAGGGGGAUAACUACUGGAAACGGUAGCUAAUACCGCAUACCAUCAGAUGUGCCCAGAUGGGAUUCGCUCGUUGGUGGGGUAACGGCUCACCAAGGCGACGAUCCCUAGCUGGUCUGAGAGGAUGACCAGCCAGACUGGAACUGAGACGCGGUCCAGACUCCUACGAGAGGCAGCAGUGGGGAAUAUUGAACAAUGGGCUCAAGCCGGAUGCAGCCAUGCCGCGUGUAUGAAGAAGGCCUUCGGGUUGUAAAGUACUUUCAGCGGGGAGGCGUUACCCGCAGAAGAAGCACCGGCUAACUCAGAGAUAGCAGCCGCGUUAAUAU
rnacentral:rRNA from 1 species